rnacentral:lncRNA from 1 species
GAAAUGGGAUUGGAGCUGGUUGGUUUCAGCUCAGACAGAUUAGAACUGAGUUUCAGGGUUCAUCUUGGUUCUAGUGGAAACCAAUUCAUUAUUUAUUUAUUUAUUUAUUUUUGUUGCCUAAGGAGACAACUCAAGAAGAGGGGUGAAUUGGGUUUUAAUUAAAUAUUGAUCAAUUAAAAAUAAGGUUAGUGAUUAACUAAAUAUAUUGCCAGAGAAUUAGUUAGAUCACUAGAUGCAAUGAGUAAAGAGAGUGAGAGAGACAAGAUGCAAUACAAACACAGAAAGAUUUAUAGUGGUUCGGAGCCAACUCUCGCUCCUACGUUUGCUCCCCAAGCCGCACUUGGGAGUUCACUAUAAUUCCUAGGAUUACAGCCGGUUGUUUUACAAGCUCACAAACUAACUUGUUUUCACGAGGUAACAACGAACUCGGUCGGUUUUGACAAGCUCACCGACUAGAACCAAACGAUUGUUUUUCCGGGGUCACAAUCAAACCCAGUUGGUUUGCCCCGGUACACCAACCACAACCUUACACUGUUGGUUUUAUCUUUGGCUCACCAACAAACCUUACAACCUUUGAUUCAAUCUCCUAUUGAAUCAAGUAUACAAAAUAAGAGUUUAAAGUUCACAGGAAGAAACUUCUAAAAAGCAAGUGUGAAACAAUAUAAACAAAGUUGAGUUAGAAGCCC